rnacentral:misc_RNA from 1 species
CCCCAUUUUAUCAAACAGUUCUGGAUUCUUCAAGUACCUUACCAACUCCUGAAGUUCCUCCACUGCUUCAUCAAUCCCUGCAACAUCACUAAAUUUAACUCCAGUUGAACCAUCAACGCGAGCUUCUGCUUUAGAACGUGAAAAAUCAAUUCCUUGCCAUAAAUCCCACUUCCUGAAGUUCUUAGGUCUUCUUGAAAGUGUGAAACGAACUAGAAGAACCAUGGUCAAAAGCACAAGCAUGAUAGGCUUUAGCAUCUCAAUGCUGGCAGAUACACCACCGAAAGUGUAAAAUUCACUCAAUUUAGAGAAGACUCCUCCAUCAAUCAAAAUAUCAACAAGAUAAUCCGAA